AUUGAACGCUGGCGGCAGGCUUAACACAUGCAAGUCGAGCGGAGAUGAGGUGCUUGCACCUUAUCUUAGCGGCGGACGGGUGAGUAAUGCUUAGGAAUCUGCCUAUUAGUGGGGGACGACAUUCCGAAAGGAAUGCUAAUACCGCAUACGCCCUACGGGGAAAGCAGGGGAUCUUCGGACCUUGCGCUAAUAGAUGAGCCUAAGUCGGAUUAGCUAGUUGGUGGGGUAAAGGCCUACCAAGGCGACGAUCUGUAGCGGGUCUGAGAGGAUGAUCCGCCACACUGGGACUGAGACACGGCCCAGACUCCUACGGGAGGCAGCAGUGGGGAAUAUUGGACAAUGGGCGGAAGCCUGAUCCAGCCAUGCCGCGUGUGUGAAGAAGGCCUUUUGGUUGUAAAGCACUUUAAGCGAGGAGGAGGCUACCUGGAUUAAUACUCUAGGAUAGUGGACGUUACUCGCAGAAUAAGCACCGGCUAACUCUGUGCCAGCAGCCGCCGUAACAC
rnacentral:rRNA from 1 species